ACCCUUUUGUAGUUCAUAAACAUGAUGUUUGGGUGUUCAUACUUCUGAGUGAUACGUGCCUCCCUCAAACCUUGUUAUAAUGUCAGCAUUUUAGCUGACUGACU